rnacentral:lncRNA from 1 species
ACCCAAAUGUGUGAGAUAAAAAGAGGCUUCACACAACUAAUGUAAGUUGUACGAGGCACACCAUAAAAUCACUCCCUGAGGACAUAUGACAUAUAAUACAACUACUAAAGUACUUAAAUAAAAGAGAAUCAGCAGAUUCUCAUAAUGACACCAUCUUGUACUAGGAUUUGCUAAAAACACACAUACUUAUCUGGAACUGGACUUUGAAGUUUUACAUUCUCCACAACUUACUACUAGGCAUGAUCGCUAGAAAUUGUGAAGCAAAAAAAAAGGCAAUGUUGAGAUUUUAUCUUACACCGCCAAGUUCGCCAAAACGUACCAAUAACCUUAAUUAUGCUGCCACAUCUACACCAAGAGCAUAGUCUACUAAGGAGCCAAAAUUGCCAGCCUGCAUCACAAAUCAAAUAGGAAUCAAUGCUUUUCUGCAUCAAAAUAUUGUUAAAAAAAUACAAAAUUAUGGUAAAUACCUGAAAGCAAGAGAACUUGGGUCCUGAUAAACGGGCCAGCUUGUGCACACCUCGACUAUUCCACCAGGUGCGUGCUUGUACCUACUCUCCCACCAGCACCGGUUUCCUAAUAUUUUUGUCACCUCAUAACCAACUGACAUUGUCACAUCCUAUGGACUUUGGAGCUAAUUGUUAACUCUUCACCAUCCAACUUGCUUAGUAUUAUGAGAUACUUGUUGUUGUUGUUGUUGCUGUUAACUUUUUACCAUAUACAAGAUAUACAUCCAUGUUGGCGCUCCCAUAAUUAAGUGUUUACCAUACACAAGAUAUCCUUCCCCACAUAUGAGAUGGCCAUCCAUGUCACAGCUAUAGCUGUUAUUACUUGUGCUGUUAACUCCACCAAAUACAAGAUGUCCAUCCAGGUAGUUGUAAUAUGUGAGCCAUUACUUACCCAUCUAGUGUCUCGAGCUGAUUUUCAGCAAUCAUGACAUUUCUCUGAGUGAUUCAACUCUCGCCCAUAUAACAAGACAUCCAUCCUAUUGUAUAAGUGUAAUCCAAG